GGGAGUUCUGCAGGACAUACAUCAUGUGAGACACAACCGGUACACGACUGCUCACACCGACUCCUACACAUCUUGAGGUCUCCACCACCGGGUUCCUCCUUACAAGCUCGCUCACAACCAACACUUAAAAUGCAGGUGAUGAGGCGUGUGUCCCGGCGGUGCAGCCGGUUGGGCCGUGCUGCCGUCCUGAUUGUGGAUGUUAUGUCAAAGCCAACAUGCCUCUCCUGCACAAACCCGUAACCUUAUCCACAUGCAGCCCACACCCAGUUAGUGGCAACAUGCUGGCGCCAUGCUUCACUUAUUGUUGUUAAUACUACUCAGAUUUGGAUAUUACUCGUAAACUAAGAGAACAAACUUAAGGAAAGCAUUGAUUCUAAGUGUUGUGUUGAUAUUAUGUAAUGGUAUUUUACAAGCAUUUGAAUUUAAUAGAAUUAGUCAAAUUUUGCAUAAAAAUGUAGUAAUAUGUUAAAAUAUACGUACUUAAUACGCACAUACUCAGUACAUACGUAUUCAAUAUGUACACACUCAAUAUGUACAUACUUAAUGUAUGUAAUAUAUGUUAAAACUGUCUGAUGUUAGAAUGUCUCCACACUUUUGAAAUUACUAGAUGUUAGGCAUCAGGGGACAUGCAAACAUUUGUGACUAAUUAUAUAGAAAAUUAUAGCUAACUUGUUAAGAAAGCAUUAUGUAUAAACAUGAAAACUACAUAAAUCUACAUGAUGUUGUACAGGUUCAGAUAAUUUACAAAAGUGAAAGUUAUAAUUUUAAUUAAUUAU